ACGGGAGGCAGCAGUGGGGGAUAUUGCACAAUGGGGGAAACCCUGAUGCAGCGACGCCGCGUGAGUGAUGAAGUAUUUCGGUAUGUAAAGCUCUAUCAGCAGGGAAGAAAAUGACGGUACCUGACUAAGAAGCUCCGGCUAAAUACGUGCCAGCAGCCGCGGUAAUACGUAUGGAGCAAGCGUUAUCCGGAUUUACUGGGUGUAAAGGGAGCGUAGACGGUGACGCAAGUCUGAAGUGAAAGGUGUGGGCUCAACCCGCAAACUGCUUUGGAAACUGUGUGACUAGAGGGUCGGAGAGGUAAGUGGAAUUCCUAGUGUAGCGGUGAAAUGCGUAGAUAUUAGGAGGAACACCAGUGGCGAAGGCGGCUUACUGGACGAUAACUGACGUUGAGGCUCGAAAGCGUGGGGAGCAAACAGGAUUAGAUACCCUGGUA
rnacentral:rRNA from 1 species